CAGAUGGGGACACACUGGAAACGCAAAUUAGCGGGCCCCGCCGUAAACCUACUGAAUCAGUCUCUGAAGGUGGGGUCGAGUCAUCCUUUGUUUUUAAGAUUUUAUUUAUUUCAGAGAGAGAGCGCGAUCGAGCACGAGGAAGAACAGACCCUAAUAAUCCGUUUUAAUACUACCUGCAGGAAAAUGUGAGAACCACUGCUCUAGAAGGCUACAAAUGUCAUCUAAACAUUUGUUCAAUGAUGUUACUAGUAUGAGAACUGGAGGAAAACAACACAUUCAAAACAAUAAUAUUGGAAUGCAAGUUUCAUGUAAUAAGGACUCACUGAUGACUUCUCUCUACCAGCAGUCAAGACUUCUCUCCUGAUUCAUGCUGCUAAUGGCCAUCUGGACAACUUCACUUCGACCGCCCACGGGUAGGCACAAGAAAGACAUUUUGAACUACUGUGGCUGUUUCACUCAAUGUUUUUGAUCACAUAUUUUAGCUGGGCUAAUAUUGAUGAACUUUCGUUGAGAAACUCCUUUCAGCAACUCCAUUAAGCCAAUUUAAUUUUUGAUCAAUUUCCUCUGCAAUAUAUUUCCAUUUUGUUGUAAUUAUUUUCAUUGGGAUCCAGUUUCUUCUAUAUGUUUUAUAAUGGAGACUGAGUCAAUUUUUGGUUCAUUUCAAAUUUUACCAAUGUAUCUUCUGCUACUAAGU